GAUGCUGGUCAAAUAUUGGAAGAAAAAGUUCUGGCAUUAACGAUAUAAACCUUGAUAAUGGUUGUAAACGUUUAGGAAUAAUCCUCCAUGAAAUCGGACAUGCCCUUGGUAUGUGGCACGAGCAAAGCAGACAAGACAGAAACAGUUAUGUCACCAUAGUUGAAAAAAACAUUGAAAGCGGAAAAGAACGCAAUUUCAUGGUCAGACCUGGUGUUACCUAUGGAACACAAUACGAUUAUGGAUCAAUCAUGCAUUACGGUGAAAGGGCAUUAUCAAAAAAUGGAGGGAAAACAAUCAUUGCCAAGCAAAGCGGUUACAGCAGGACAAUGGGACAAAUAACGUCUUUGUCGUUUAAUGACAUAAAGGCUAUUAACUACCACUAUU